rnacentral:rRNA from 1 species
GACAGAGGGUGCAAACGUUGUUCGGAAUUACUGGGUGUAAAGCGCGUGUAGGCGGCUACGUAAGUCGGGCGUGAAAUCCCACGGCUCAACUGUGGAAGAGCACUCGAAACUGCGUGGCUAGAGUCCUGGAGAGGAAGGUGGAAUACUUGGUGUAGAGGUGAAAUUCGUAGAUAUCAAGUGGAACACCAGUGGCGAAGGCGGCCUUCUGGACAGUGACUGACGCUGAGACGCGAAAGCGUGGGAAGCAAACAGG